rnacentral:rRNA from 1 species
AUUGAACGCUGGCGGCAUGCCUAACACAUGCAAGUCGAACGGAAACAGGACGCUGUGAUCCCUUCGGGGUGAACUUGUCGCUGUCGAGUGGCGGACGGGUGAGUAAUGCUUGGGAAUCUGCCCAGUAGUGGGGGACAACACGGGGAAACUCGUGCUAAUACCGCAUACGCCCUACGGGGGAAAGCGGGGGAUCUUCGGACCUCGCGCUAUUGGAUGAGCCCAAGUCGGAUUAGCUUGUUGGUGGGGUAAUGGCCUACCAAGGCGACGAUCUGUAGCUGGUCUGAGAGGACGAUCAGCCACACUGGGACUGAGACACGGCCCAGACUCCUACGGGAGGCAGCAGUGGGGAAUAUUGGACAAUGGGGGCAACCCUGAUCCAGCAAUGCCGCGUGUGUGAAGAAGGCCUGCGGGUUGUAAAGCACUUUCAGUAGAGAAGAAAAGCUUAGGGUUAAUACCCCUGAGUGUUGACGUAACCUACAGAAGAAGCACCGGCUAACUCCGUG